rnacentral:lncRNA from 1 species
CUUUUAAUUUCAAUAAAUAGGCUAGUAGUUCUAAUAUUCUCUUAAUUAUAUUUAUUUUAGAUUAUUACAAAUUUUUAUUAUAUUUUUUUAAAUAUAAAAAUUAAUUAAUUAAUAUUUUUUUUUUAUUAUUUAUAUUAAAAAAAGAGCAGUAUAAUCCUAAAUCUACCCAACUACCUCCACUCCUAUCUGAAUCUUAGUUUGUUCAACUGUUUCCUCCCACAAGAGAACUCCCUCAACCCAACAAGAAACAAAAGUUACGUAAUAUUCUAUAGACUAUCGGACACUUUAUCAGACAUAAACCAGAGGCAGAAAAAGAUGGAGAGAAAAAACAGAGUCAGAUUAAAAAAAAAAAGGAGAGAAGCACAAGAGUUCACGGUUUGAAGUAUCCGAUAGCGACUUUCUUGCGUUAUUGUUCGUCUUAAUUCAUCACAGGUUUUUCUUUAAUUUUGAAUCAUUUAUAUUAUGAGUUGUUAUGGAAAAGUCUGAAUGAAAAUACGUGGAUAAUCUCAAUGCACUAUUUCGUAUGAAUAUUUGAUUAUGUAAAUCUGUUGUUACUCUAUCAUAUUAUUUUACCGAGUGUUAAUAUAUUUGUUCAGACAUGCUGGGAAUUACAAUAUCAUAUGUUAAUUCUGUCAAGUUUUAAAAGAGAAUCGAAAAAAGAGGAAUUGGAAAAGAUGGUUACACAUAGAAAACACACACACACAAUUCAUUGCGCACACACAGUGAGGAGUCGAAAGGAAAAUUAGUGGAAAAUAGGCAAAAUAUUGUAAGAAAAACAGCGUAGAUUGAUAAAAAAAGUCGGUGAAGAAUUUAGAGGAAAACAGUGAGGGAAACAGAAGGAAGAAGAGGGAGAAACAAUAACUUCUGGUUAGGGGUGUACAGACCAAAUCGUUAAGUCAAAUCGAACCGACGAAUCAAAUCAAACCGAGAAAAAAAAUUGACUUAUGAUUUGGUUUAAUUGGUUUGGUGUUAGAAAAAAAAAUCGACUAUUUUUGAUUUGGUUUGGUGUUAACAAAAAAAAAAAGGUCAAACCGAACCCGAAUCAAACUGACAUAAUAUAUAUAUAUAUAUUCAAACUUUUUUAUACAUAAAAUAUUAAUUAUAAUCUACUUUUUAAAUACUUUUUCAACUAGUUUUAGUAAUUUUCAAUAAUUUGAAAGUAGAUGUAGAUAUAUAUAUAUUUAGAUUUAGGCCUUUAAGUUGUAAUAUUUGUCCAUUAAUUGUUAAUUAAAUGAUCCAAAACCCAAUAUAAACUUAAAACCUAAACUUUUCACUCUUCAAAAAUACAUAAAGUAAUUAAAUUACAAAAAAUAGCAGCACUUUUAUCAAAUUACAUUUUGUAGCAUAUGUAUUUGUAUGUAUUUAUAUUUUUGUAGCAACAGCUUGCAAAAAUACAAAAUACAUAUCGAUCAUAAGGGCAGUUAAAAUCAUAUGCAUUUGUAACAGUUUGCAAAAAUACAAAAUAUAACUUGCUAUAUUAUGUAAUUAUGAAACAGUUGCUAUGAAACUUAUAAUUAAGGGAAUAAGUACGUUAUUUUUGAAUUUUGCCCUAUAUAUAUUUAGAUUUGGGCCUUUAAGUUGUAAUAUUUGUCCAUUAAUUGCUAAUUAAAUGAUCAAAAAUCCAAUAUAAACUUAAAAUCUAAAAUUUUCACUUUUCAUCUCACUUUUUAGUUUCAAGAGAGUUUUCGGCUCCUCAUUUUUUCAUAAUUAUGAUUUUUCAUUAGCACAUGAGUGAAAACAUAUUUGAUCUAGUCUUCGAUCACAAUAUACUUGUAAAAACUUAAGAUUAUAAAAAAAUCCCCAAAAAACCUGAAAAAUUUGACUAAAACCUAAACUGAAAAACCAAUUUUAUGGUGGUUUAAUUUGAUUUAUAGUUUUAAUAAACCGACAUGAUUGAGUUUUUUUUUUAAUAAAAACCGAACCAGCCUGACCUAUGUACACCCUACUUCUGGUAUUAAUUUUUCGGUGAAAUUUUGCUAGAAAAAGCCUCACCCAUCACCGGAAAACCCAUAAAAAACGGCGACCAAGCUUUUCGCCGAAAAAUUGGUUCCGUCCCUUAUCGAACCCACAACACCAGCGAAUCACCGAUCAAAACUCACCCCCACCGUCUGUCUUUCGAAUUUCGGCCAACUAUGGCUGGCAAAAACGCCACUUCAGCCAAUGGCCACCGCUACGUCGCCCCCUUUUUCCUUUUCUCCCGUCCCUGUCAUGCCAUAAUAGUCCAGAUCUGGUCAAACUUUGACCAUCCGGCGCUGCUCUGGCAACCAUCACUACCACCGGUGACAUCUCACCGUGAAAAAGACCCCGCGGCUCCACCCUCCAUCUCCCCAUCAGCCGACUCCAGCCAGUAACAACCAGUUCACCGGCCACCACCCACUGAAAAACGAUCCAAAGCAUCACCUUACGUUAAUUCCGGCGAGCACCUAUCGUACAACGAUGCCACCGGUUUUCCUUUUCCAAAAUUGGAUUUAAAUGUUUAAUAUUUAUAUUUUUCUUCAAUUGGUAUAUGAUGUAAUUCAAAUUGUUUGUUUUCUUUGCGACUUUGUGUUUGAGUUUGAUCUCGAGAAUUUUCAUAUUUAAUGUAUAUAUGAUCCGAAUUUGUAUUUUAAUAAUUAUAAAUAUAUGAUCCGAAUUUGUAUAAUAAUAAUUAUAAUAAAUAAAUAAAUAAAUAGAUUUAAGGAUUCAUAUUAAAAUUAGUAUAAAUGAUUAGUUUUUGUAUAAUUUGUGUUAUAUUAUUAUUUUAUUUUUAUUUUAUUCUUUUUAUUCAUUGUUAUUAAUAAGUUUUAAUAAUUAGUUGUUAAAUUGAUUAAUCGCUUUAAUUAAAUAUUAUUCAAGGAUAUUGUUAAAAUUAAGUAGUGCAACAAGUAGGCAAGCUUUAAAAUGCUAGGAAAAUUUUAGGCAUGUUUAAAUAUAUGCGUCUCAAUUAAGAAUGUAACUUACACAUCUUUCUGAUACAUUUAAAAAUUUAAGGAUGCAAUAAUGUACAUUGAAAAAGAAUAUUUUUCUAAAAUUAACUUUUAUUGAUUUGUUUAAUAUAAGAUAAUAGAGAAGUUUUAGCAUAAUAAAAAUGAGCGAAUUUAGGCCUUAACAUAAUUUAUCGAAAAAUAGUUUAAGUCAAGAUAAGUUAAUAAAAACGAUCGUGCUAGAACCACGGGACUCAAGGGUUGCCUCAUACCUUUCCCUCGAUCUACAGAAUUUCUUACCCGGUUUUCUGUUUUCUGUUUUCGCAGAUCAUAAUAGUCAUUUCCUUUUGACUAGGAAUUCAAAAAGGUGACUUGGAACACCAUAAUUCGAUUUCAAGUGGUGACUCUAUAAAUGAAAUAAUGCCUAUUCAAAAUCGUCACUUAAAUUGGAAAAAUCCUUCAACUUCGACCAUCGAAUGAAAAAAGGGGUGUGACAUCUCUGGCAACUCUACUGGGGACUAACCAAUUCGAGCUUUUAAUAUUGACUUUUACUUGCUUUAAUUAUUGUUGAUAUUGUGUUUGUUGUCCUAAUGUGCUACUUGUUGCUCAUUUAUCGCUUUGAUAUUGUUGAACUAUAUUUAUAAUUUGUUUUCUCUUGCAUACCCCCUCUGAGUCUUUGAAAUAAGAAAGAAGGAAUGCAGUGCAUGCAUCCUACCUUAUUUUUUAGAUAGACGAAGUGUCAAGGUACCUGGUGAAGGAUUAUUAGUCACACAUGUUAGGUGGGGUUUGGAUCCAAAAUGAAGGCGGAGUAGAACUGCUACCGACCAAGUUGUCCCUCGCGGACUCGAGUGUCCGCUCAGGUAAGCCAAUCUAGACAUCUAUCUCCAUUAGGAUAAACCUAGUAGAAUUGAAACUCAGACGUGGUUAUCCUUAUCAGGCUCCGCUUUAUCUUAUCAUAUGCAUUUGACUUAACGGGACUCGGCAAAGGGGCCGGGUUUGUCUAGGACAGGUUUUCCUUUUUAUAAUGACCAACAUGUGCAUCCUAUGUGCUCUUUGACAUUUAUUUGAAAGGUCAUUUGGUUGUUGACCGACUUUAGGAAACUUUGUAAAACGCAAGAGAGUAUAUUGUCCUUAAAUUUAACAAAUCAUAUUUUUUCUUUUUUUUUUUCAAGAAAAUUAAAAAUAUAUAUUAGUUUUUAAGGUCUUCAUAAACUAUGAGGUUCUGAUUCUCACUAUUUAGCGGGAUACAUAGGAAGCUUUUUUUCGGGGUACAACCCUGUCUUUUGAAAAGUUAUUCAUACAUUUAUUUAUGAAAUAUUUUGAAAUUAUGAUUACUUUCAUAAUUAUUUUUCUUGUACUCAAGUUUAAUUUUUAUACACACACACACACACACACACACACACACACACACACACACAUAUAUAUAUAUAUAUAUAUAUAUAUAUAUAUUAACAGAAAAUACUCCUUUCUUCUUCAAUAACCCCACCCCUUUCAAAGUAGAGAGGUUGUUUCCGAUAGACCCCCUGAUACAAGAAAAGACUAGGAAUUCAUGAAAUGGAUACUAGGAUGCAAAAAUCAUCAAACACAUAAAAGGAAAAACAACACAAAGAAAAGGGAUGAAGAAGAAGAUUUGUAUAAAAGUAAAGAUAGAUAGAAAGACCUUCACUUCCACCAAUGAAUAGCACUAGAAGGUGUAUCAAACCUUCAAACACAAAUCACCAAUGUAAGUUCAAACCUUCCUCUUAGGUGGACCAAAGGAACUCACACUCCCUCAAUCACACCUUUCUUGUCAAUUGAUCAACACAAGUGAAAUCCAUCAAAUGUAUUAAUCUCUCAAGUUUUGAUGUCUUAUCCAAGACCUACACUAAUAUGGCUUAUCCAAUCCCUACACUAAGGAAGAAACUAAACUAAGAGUAAUACUCAAUUUCAAUUCAUNNNNNNNNNNNNNNNNNNNNNNNNNNNNNNNNNNNNNNNNNNNNNNNNNNNNNNNNNNNNNNNNNNNNNNNNNNNNNNNNNNNNNNNNNNNNNNNNNNNNNNNNNNNNNNNNNNNNNNNNNNNNNNAUGUGGUCUUCUUCACACUUCAACAUAUGACUUUCCUUGAGUCUUUUUGGUCUUUACAAUUAUUCUUCAACACUUGGACCUCUCGGGCAUCUCAUCAAGGCAAGCUUCCAAGCAAUCUUCCAUACACGGAAUUGUUCUAUUGUGGGCUUAAAAUGGGUCCCCCAUGCGUGCUCCCGUGCCCUCAAUGUGACCACAAUUGGGUUCUUCUUGUGUUGGCCCAGUAGGAUGUCUUCAAAAGCUAAGGUGACCAUUUGACUUGUAUCAUCCCCCCCUUCUUGAAAAGGAUUCGACCUCGAAUCCAAACCUAGCAAAACCAAAGAGAGGACAAACAAAUACAAACUCCUUAUGGCAUGAGGGUUAGGGUUAGCACAACAAAUUAUCUCAACAUGCCAAGGUUGCACAUAUUUGCAAUAUAACCAAGAAUCCUUUAAAUUAAAUAUUAAAAGUUCAAUGAAAGAUGCACAAAGGAUUUGGUUAUGGAAUUCGCCAAAACUGAUACUUUUCUUGUCAUAUAGACCAAGCAACAAGUUGGGCGCAUCAACACCAUCAAUUCUAUAUUUGGCACCGGGGUCAAACGGGAAAAGUGGGCAUAGACACGGGUCUAGACAAUACUCCCAUUUCCCAUAGGCUUCACUCAAACUACACGACAUACUCUCUACAAUGACAUACAUGUCAUCAAAAGCAAGUAGAGAGUAAAGAAAGGUAUCACUCAAGUCAACUUCUACUAAGUUGUCUUCAUGUGUGUACUCACCACUAGUUUCAACAUCAUCGUCAUAAGUACUCUCAACAAUAAGAUCACACGUAGAAGAAGAAGAAGUAAUUUCAAAGCAAUGGACACCUUCCCUUUCUAUAGAAGUACCCUCAAGUAUACACAUACCACCACCAAAGUUAAAGAAAUUAUUACUUAAGUCUUCACAAGAAGUAAGUAAUUCAUCCUCAUAAUCAUCAAACCUGGGUGGGGUGUCAUACAAAGGAUUACAACCACAAUUAAUUUUCAAGGAACAAUCACUUAUUGGGUUUCUUAAGAAUUCAAGCAAGUCAAGAUUAUCAUCACCCAAUUGAUCAUUCCUUUCCAAGACCUCACAUUCCCUUCCCUUAAGAGUACUCUCAUCUUCCAAGAAGAGAUUUUCAUCUUUAGGAGAAAUGUUGUCACACCAUAGUGGGUUGGCAUAUAGGCUAUAACUUCCAAGACAAGCUAUACCUUCAACUUCAUUCUCACCACUAGGUUCAUUAGGAAUGAACUCAUCAUCUUCAAACAAGAUAUUAUCCUUAAAGAGAGAAGGAUCUAUCCAUGAAGAGGAUAUAGAAUAUGCAAAUCCAUUCUAUAAAAGAUCAUUAUCAAGCAUCAAAGAUAUUUCAAGUACACGAUUAUCCCUAUAAGCAAAAUCGAGAGUAGAACAUUCACUAGAGGUUAUGCAAAAGGGGUUACUCCUAUUUAUUUGAUCAAUAUUUUCAAAAUCAUUACUCACUUGAGAUCCAUUAAACAUAUCACAUACAUCCUCAAGUGGUGCACAAAUUUCACACAUAAGUUGAUCAACACAAUUCCCACAAGAUGAUGUACUAUCAUUCAACACAUUUGCUUCAACACUAGGUGGACAUAAAUUGAUCUUACAAGAAGAGUCAAUUCAGUCAUCAAUAGGAUCAACUAGUGUAUCCACAUUCACAAUAUGUACAUCAACAUCAAGGGGCAACGAAUCAAUAGAUGAUGUAUUAUCAUUCAACACAAUGGCUUCAACACUAGAUGGACUUAAAUUGAUCUUACAAUAAGAGUCAAUUCGGUCAUCAAUAGGAUCAACUAGUGUAUCCACACUCAUAACAAGUACAUCAUCAACAAGAGGCAAAGAAUCAAUAGACUCAUAAAUAGAUAAACUACCACUCAUGCUCAAUAGGAUACUAGCCACACAAUCAUCAUCCACAUGUACAAAAGUGUAAGAGUUUGCUAUUUUACCUUUAUGUUCUUGAGUACAUUCUUCUUUGCCUUUGUUCGGAUCAUGGCAGCCCACUUUCUCCUUUGAGAAUCUCGCAUCACAAGGGAGUUUGUCAAGUCUUCUCCCUUAUUUCACCUCUUCAUCUCUUUUUCCCAAAUUGGGAUUUAGUGCACUAAGUAUUUGGCGCAUAUCUUUAAUGAAGUUAUGAAUAUUGUCAUUGAUACGAUCAAACGUGGCAUCAAAACUAUAGGCAGCCAUGGUACCUAAAAGAAAGAAACAAACCUACAAAACAAACAAACAAGUUAGUCCAAAUAUCCUCACCAACUCUCUCACUCUCGAAUUCUUACCUCACACUUGGUCUCAUAAGUGUUGAAUACUUGGCAAUACUUGGCAAGUGAAUGAGUGGUGAAUAUGCUUUAGUUCAAAAUUGAUUCUUUUUUGAUAAGACUCAAAUAAAAUGAUGUACGGACUUGAACCAUCAAACUACUAUGAAUUUAAAAAUGAGAAAAGCACACAAAACUCGAAGACGCGAAACAAACAGACUCUAAUCUAAUUAUCAAACUAGUAGGUAAUUACUAGCUUACUUAUUAGGGAUAGAAUUGACUUAUAAGAAACUAGAAUCAAAAACUAGAAACUAGAAAAUCUAAUUUAGAACUCAAUUUGGUUGUUCAUAAAAGUGAUGAUGUGGCAGCUUGUGGUUGGACGUCACUUUUUUCAGAUUUUCAAUUUUCCCCAAAACCUUGUUUCGGCCAAAUACACUUAUGAGAAGAAGAAAUUUCAUUUGGGAGGGAAAAAUUGAAGGUUUGGAGCCCUUUUGGAGCUUCAAAUGAAUUCAAAAUGGAUUGGUUUCCCCCUAAUAAAUGCAAUUGUACUUGAUUAUUCCCUUUGUCUCUUCUUUUUUUCGGAUGAGAAUGAAUAUGCCAAGGAAUAUUCUUUCACAAACACCAAGUACACUCUCUUUCUUCUCCUUUUUUGGAUCAAACACACUCUUUGAAUAUUCUUCCUUAGCAAGACUUGAUGAACAUGGAAGAACAAGAAGAAUAUUUAAGAGUUGACCAAAGUUUGACCCCUAACCAGAUGAACCCCAAAUUCAGAUUUUCUUGUAUAUCUAGGUUCCUUAGGCCAAGGUGAACGAAAAUAACUAAAAAUAAGCAACAAACCAACGUCCAACUUCAAAACCCACAUGGAUCUAUGCUCAAAAAGCUUCAAAAUACCAUAUCCAUGGAGGUUUAGUUCAAACUCGACCAAUUCUUGUUUCAAAUGUAGAUCUAGACUCCCUAGGUGCUAGGGAAAAAGAACCUAGCACUUGAAACCAACAAAACACACACAAAAAAAGUAGAUCUAAGAUCUAAAAAAUCUGUCAAAACACAAAAACGGGUUAAGAAUUUUUUUGUGAGAUUUUUGAUUUUCUACACUUUUUUGUUGAUUUUCUUCAAGGUAAUCAAUAAUUCAAGACUUAGGAUUGUAGGAACAAUCCUGAAACAUGGCUUUGAUACCAAAUGAUACAAGAAAAGACUAGGAAUUCACGAAAUGGAUACUAGGACGCAAAAAUCAGCAAACACAUAAAAGGAAAAACAACACAAAGAAAGGGGAUGAAGAAGAAGAUUUGCAUAAAAGUAAAGAUAGAUAGUAAGACCUUCACUUCCACCAAUGAAUAGAACUAGAAUGUGUAUCAAACCUUCAAACAAAAAUCACCAAUGUAAGCUCAAACCUCCCUCUUAGGUGGACCAAAGGAACUCACAAUCCCUCAAUCACACCUUUCUUGCCAAUUGAUCAAUACAAGUGAAAUCCAUCAAAUGUAUUAAUCUCUCAAGUUUUGACGUCUUAUCCAAGACCUAAACUAAUAUGGCUUGUCCAAGCCCUACACUAAGGAAGAAACUAAACUAAGAGUAAUACUCAAUUUCAAUUCAUCAAAGUCUAAUGAAAAAUAAGCCUAAGGAAUCUAUUUAUACUUAUUACAUUAAAGACCAAAAUAUCCUUAAUGAAAAGGGGCUCCUAUGGAGUGUAAAGAAAAAGCAUAAAAAGACCAUUACACCCUUAAUGAAUGGGUGAUCAUGUAGUGUUUUGAUGUGGUCUUCUUCACACUUCAACAUAUGACUGUUCUUGAGUCUUUUUGGUCUUCACAAUUAUUCUUCAACACUUGGACCUCUCGGGCAUCUCAUCAAGGCAAGCUUCCAAGCAACCUUCCAUAUAUGGGAUUGAUCUAUUGUGGGCUUAAAAUGGGUCCCCCAUACGUGCUCCCGUGCCCUCAAUGUGACCACAAUUAGGUUCUUCUUGUAUUGGCCUCGCAGGAUGUCUUCAAAAGCUAAGGUGGCUAUUUGAAUUGUAUCACCCCCGGCUCGAGAUACAGAACAGUAACAAGGGGAUGAAUGACACAAAAGAAAAUCUGUGAUAAGAAAUAAUGUCACUAGAAAACAGAGAAAAUACGACAUACGAUAAAUAAGGGCAACACGAAAGAGAGAAAAUAAGAAGUAUGCAAAAAAAUACGAAGGACACCUACCUAUUCGUAACAUACUCGCACAUACCAAAGACAUCUAAGAAUACUAAGAUUCCUAAGAUUACUAGCCCGGCAACAUAAGGUCUCCCUAACCACUUGCUACACCCCACACAAUCACACUAGCCUUCUACCCUUAUCCGCGACCUCCACACCUUCCUAUCUAGGGUCAUGUCCUCAGUAAGCUGAGGCCGCUCUAUAUCGUGUCUAAUUACCUCCCUACAGUAUUUCUUUGGCCUACCUCUCCUCCUCCUAAAGCCAUCCAAAGAUAGCCUCUCAUACCUACUAACUGGGAUAUUCACACCUCUCUUCAUCACAUGCCCAAACCAUCCCAGCCUUCCUUUCCUUAUCUUGUCGUCCACUGAAGCCACUCCCACCUUCUCCCAGAUAACUUCAUUUCUAACUCUGUCCCCUCUAGUAAGCCCACAUAUCCAAAACAAAAUAUAUAUAAAUCUUAAUAGCUUAAACCUUUAGGGGUCUUGAGGUUGAACUUUUUAUGACAUAUAUUUCACGAACUACACACACCCGAUUCUCACAUUGAUGAGAUACGUAGGCAACCUUUAUCGGGUUCGAUGAUAUUCUUUAGAAAAUAUUUUUUAAAAAAUGAUGAAUUCAAACACAUUUAUUUUCUCCCAAAUCAAAAUAGUAUUAAGGUGGUUGGUUUAUGGUUAAGUUGGCAUUUCAUUCAUACAAUACCAGGUCCAAAGAAAAAGGCAAGAUGACCCACAAAAAUGGAUAUAGGGCCUGAGAUGAGGUGGUGUAGACUGUUAGAAAUAAGGAAUAAGAAGAAAUGGAUAGGAAGAUAAAAGUUCGGAGCAAAAUAUAAGUACUAUUUGCAAGGAUUAAGAGAGGAAUUUUUUACAAGGAUUUGAACAUGUUUUCCAAUGUUCACUUGCCUCUAAGGUCCAAAACAUCAAAGUCAGAUAGGAACGAGGGAAUGGAGAUCUUUUGGGUCAUUUGAAAAGGUUUUGUAAUCAACUAAGAGAAGCAAGGAAGAAAAAUUGAUGAUAGCUUACUUUGGAGAGACUCUAGUGGGGAUUGAUAGUUUCAAAAUGGUCCAGGAUACUUUAGAGUCAAGAAGAAAAACUGAUGAGUAUCAAUGACUAUGGAGACUCCAUUAAGCCUAACAUGCAAAUCAAUGGCUAAGAUGUCAAACUUGACAAUUCAGAAAUCAUGUCGCUCCCCGCAAGAAGAGAGCUUUGGUAGUCUAUUUUGUUUUCCUUUCUGUUACCCAAAUAUUUCAAAUUUAUAGUUCUGGUUCUAUCUUGUCUUAUUUUUUUUUUAAAUUGAAAAAAUAUUUUUUAUCAUUUUUAUUCAAAUCCUUUUUUUCUGUCAAUAAAAUGUUGUGUCCUUUUAUUUUUUUAUUUAAUAUAUAUAGUGUUUGUUCGUCUUUUCUUUCUUUACAUAAUUUUUUCUAUGGGGAUGCUAGUGAUAUGAUAUGCAUGAUGAAUUUUCACCAGAUCUUAAAACUUAAUCUAAUUCUGAAAUAUUUGACCAAGAAGAUAGAGUUGAAAGAAAAAAAAACAUAUAAAGAAAUAUGUAAAGUGCUGAGAUAUUUGGGAACCUAGUUAUAAUCUCACUUGAAUAUGUUGAAACAAUCACAUUACGAAUAAAAAAUGACCUAGUCUUCAAUGAGAAGGCCCAUCUCAAGCAUUUUGAAUGAGAUCAACCAGAGGAUAUAUAGUUUCUAUUGCCAGGAAAACAAAAGAAAGUUAGCUUAAAAAAAUGAGCCGUCUGUUGUGAGGAAAGUACAACACAAAUGGGCCUGUAUGUUUCACAAGCAUGAAUGAAGUGACGUAUGUGCACUUGCUCAGUCAAGGUCAAUGUUGUAAAGAUAUGCAUGAUCUUUAUGUUGCACUCUCUCAUUGCAUGUUAUGUACUUGCAUUUUUAAGGAUUGAUAUGACGAAGAUAUUUCAUUCUUCUAUCCAGAUGUUGUGUCAUCCUUUGUUACCCCCUUUGAACUUUAAUUUUAUUUUCUUUCAUACACCUCUUUUGGAAUAAAAAUAGAGUCUGAAAAAAAUAAAAAAAAAAGAAAGAAAAAGAAAAGGGCCAAGAAAGAGAAAUAUAGUAAGAAAAAGUGCCAAUAAAAUAGAGUAAAAAAAAAUCUCUCUAAAAAAAGAGGCAAGAAAAAGAAAAGAUAAAGAGAGCCAAAGUUAGAGAAAAAAUCAACCAAAAGAACAAGAUGUCUGAACUACGUUUGACCUGAUUCUUGCUAUGACAAGAUACAUAGGCAGCCCUAUUCUAGGGUUCGGUCCAACCAAGUGAAAAUUCAAGUUACCCAGUAUAAAACAAAAUAGGGGCAAAAAUUAUUUUUCUUAAAAGUUAAUUUCAAAAGUUGUAUGCUUCACCCAACGUCAUGUAUAUUUGUAAGCCUCAUGUCGCCCUUUUCUUCUAACCCUUUCUAAAAGUCAAGUUACAACCAAAGAAAGACAUUCAGAUCGAUCUUUGAGAAUGCCAAGGCUAAACAUGUUUGAGUGCAUGAUGCUUCAUACUUUGGGCAUCGUCCCUUCAUCAAACAAAAAAAUAAAAACGAGAGAGUCUUAGUGGUGAAAAUCUUUUUAGGCACCAUAAGGCGACAAUGGGAUAAGAAAGAAAUAAAAAUGAGAUAGGCUCAUUGGCAGAAACCUAUUGAGGUGCCACUAGCCGAAGGAAGAUUGUGAUCUAGAGGGAGCAAGUUCAAGAAUGACUCAAUUUCAAAUUCAAUAAGUGGGUAAAAGUUGAAAAUGAUUAGUAUGGGUAGAUUUGGUUGCGUAAUUCAAAAUGAAGUCAUAAUCACUGGAAUCACCUGCCACACCCAGAUAAGUUUUCAUUUUUGACAUUUUUGAAAAAAGAUGUCUGUUGUCUUUUUUUUAAUUAGUAUUAUUAUUUUUUUAUUUUUUUUAUUUUUGUGUCUUUGUUAUCAAAAGAAAAAUCACUAUGUCAUCUUUCACAUAUUUUGAGUCAAAUUCAUGUCAAGCCAAGUAAGGAAGGACUUCAAAACUUGCUACCAUCUCUUUCAAUUGCACAAAGCAAGACAAAGAGCCGACACAUAAAGAUAUAAAGGUGUAUUAGAAGUUAAACCCAGACGCAUCAUGCAAAGAAAAUACGAUUUGAGUCAAAUACUUUCAGUAACCAAAAUUUGGGGUCAAAAGUAUGACAAGUCAAUGAUACCUAUCAAUGAUCUGAAAUGGAGCCGAGCAUGACAAGUGCAAGAGCGAUUGCCUAAAAAGCUAAAGCCACAAACCAACCACUGUGUUUUUAAAUUAACAAGUUUUCUUGGUAUGAAACAAAAACACAUGUUGCCUUUAAAUCAAGGACUUCAAGUCUAAAUAUCAAAAUGUGCAAUUCUCACUUAUGCAAAUGCAAAAGGUGGUAUUGCUAAGCAGGUUUGAUAAUCACAAUCAUGAUAAAAACUCAUCAUCCUAUACCCUUUAGGAGACACAUUUCCUAGUCUGAAUAAAUCACUUUUCAUUUGUUAGGUGACACACUUUCUAACUUAAAUCUUCACUCCUAGAAGACACAUUUUCUAGUUGAGUCCUUCCAUUUAACCCUAGGAUACACACUUCCUAGUCUGAAUAAUUCAAGUUUCAUUUGUUAGGUGACACACUUCCUAACUUGAACAUUCACUCCUAGAAGAUGUAAUUUCUAGUUGCAUCAUUUCAUUUAACCCCUAGGAGACGCACUUCCUUGUUUGAAUAAGUCAGUUCAUUUGUUAGGUAACGUACUUCCAAACUUAAACCUUUACUCCUAGAAUACGCACUUUCUAGUCGAGUCUUUCCAUUUAACCCCUAGGAAACACACUUUCUAAUCUGAAUAAUUCAAGUUUCGUUUGUUAGGAAAAACACUUCCUAACUUGAACAUUCACUCCUAGAAGACACAUUUUCUAGUCGAGUCAUUUUAUUUUUACCUUAGGAGACACACUUCCUUGUCUGGGUAAUUUAAGUUUCAUUUGUUAGGCGACGAACUUCCUAACUUAAACCUUCACUCCUAGAAAAUGCACUUUUUAGUAGAGUCCUUCCAUUUAACCCCUAGGAGACAUACUUCCUAGUCUAAGUAAUUCAAGUUUCAUUUGUUAGGUGACACAAUUCCUAACUUGAACAUUCACUCCUAGAAGAUGCACUUUCUAGUUGAGUUAUUUCAUUUAACCCUUAGGAGAUGCACUUCCUAGUCAGGGCAUGUCAGUUUUUAUGUGUUAUGGACCUCAAACACAUACACUCUUGGCUUGCUUCAUGAAUAGCUAUAAUCUUAGCGUGAUUCGAUAAAGUCGCUAUGAUAGACUGCUUUAUUGAUCUCCAAGAUAUGGUAGUACCUCCACGUAUGAAUACAUAGCCUGUUUGAGACCGAUAUUUAUGUGGGUCAGAUAAGUACCCAAUAUUAGCAUAAUCAACAAGAUUGGAAUUACAAUUUUUAUAAUAAAAUAAGCCCAUAUUGAUAGUCCCUUUUAGAUAUCAUAAUAUGUGUUUGAUCCCAUUCCAAUGUCUCGUAGUAGGAGCAGAACUAUACCUUGCUAACAAAUUAACUGAAAAGGAUAUAUCAGGCCUUGUAGUAUUUACAAGAUACAUUAAUGCACCAAUUGCACUAAGAUAUGGUGUUUCAAGGCCAAGGAGUUCCUUAUUCUUUUCUUGAAAUCAAAAUAGAUCCUUAUUCACAUCAAGUGAUUGAAAAACCAUCGGAGUACUUAAUAUAUGUGCUCCAUCCAUAUAGAAUCAUUUCAACACCUUUUCUAUGUAGGCAGAUUGAUGGACAAAGAUACCGUUUGUCAAAUGCUCAAUUUACAAACCAAGGCAUAAUUUUAUCUUUCCGAGGAAGGCAAGAUUACCAUCCGGUCUAGUAUGACCUCAAUGAUAAUGAUGAUGGAAUGGAUGGAGCAGGUGCAAUGGAUGCAAUUAUUUCUCCACCGUUGGCACCUGGGGCAAAAUUCAACAUUACGAGUACUAUGAUUCAAUCUGAAGGGUUUGUUUGGUGGCCUUCCUGGGGAUGGCCCUAACUUGCAUCUGGUGAACUUUGUCACCAUCAGUAAAUCUUUUAAUAACCCAAGAGUGGGUCAGAAUGCUAUCUGAUUGAGAUUGUUUUCAUUGUCUCUGUCUGGGGAGGCAACAUUGUGGCUUAAUGAGCUGACACCCAAUUCUAUAACCAACUGGAGGUAGUUGAAAGGAGAUUUCUUAGAAAGGUUCUUUCUGCCUUCUAGGAGGGUACUGUUGAGGGAUGAGAUCAGCAACUUUAGGUAGCUCCCAACUGAAGCCUUGCAUGAAAUGUGGGAGAGAUUCAAAAAGAAGCUGACGCAGUGUCCGAACCACAAUAUGACAGACAUAAACUUGAUGGAGACUUUGUACAGGGCUCUUAACUCUGUGAAAAAACCAAUUAUAGAUAAUGCUACUGGUGGUCCAUUUAUUGAUCUUACAUUUUGAGAGGUUUCAGAAAUGCUAGAGAGAAUGAUCAAACAGAGUUGGGUAUGGCAUACCAGAGACUCUGUGGUAGCCAGCCCCACUAUUUUUGUGGGUAUAACUGCAGAAUAACACAGAAGAGAUGAGGAGCGUGACCAAGACAUGACUCACUUAAAAAUGCAGAUGGACUUUCUAACUAAGCACUUGCUAUCAGGCAGGACUGAGAAGGUGAAAGAUGUGGGAUCACAAGAUAAAGUUGAUGCUGAUUCAGAAAAAGAGGCAAACUAUGUUAAUAAUUAGGGGUUUCUGAGGCAAUAGACAAGGGAAUCAAGGUCGGAAUUAUUAUGAUAAUCCUGGUUAUAAAGAUAGGGAGCAGGGAAAUUAGAGGAAUAAUAAUGAUAGAAGCGGGCUAUAUGUCCCUCUUGGAAAUCGUAAGGCUGGUACAACAAGUUCUAAAAAGAUGUCCAUGGAGGACAUGAUGGCUAAGUUGCUGAAGGAAGUGGAGGCUACCAACUCUGGUGUGACCACCAUGAAGACCAAUCUGCCAUCUAUUAGUCAGUUGGUAAAUUCAUACUUCACCGUAAUCAAAUAGUUGGGGCAGCAGAUGAGCCAACUCUCUGCAGUAUUUAACUAGAGGAAGAGUGGAAUGUUACCAAGUGAUGAGGUCCAGAAUCUGCGGAAUGAUGGUUCAUGUAUGACGAUUACACUAGAAGUGGUAAGAUAUUACCUGGCCCUUCUGUGGGCAAAAGUCUUAUUGAAGAUGUGAUCGAGACAGAGAAUAAAUGCAAAGAAGAAUGUCCAGUGGAGUCUGAGAAGUUGUAUGAUUCUGAUGAUGUUCCAGAAAAAGGAAAAGAGAAGGAGAAGGAGGUAGUGUUGAAAAGUCUCCCAAGACCACCACCUCCAUUUCCUCAACGAUUGAAGAAAAAAAUUGAUAAUGCAAAAUUCAGCAAGUUCAUGGCAAUGCUCAAACAAUUGAUAAUAAAUGUACCUUUGGUGAAGGCACUCGAGGACAUGCCAGGAUAUGCUAAAUUCAUGAAAGACCUUGUGACUAAGAAAAGAAUGGUGAGGUACAAACUAGAUGACAAUCUCCAUCAUUAUAGCGCUAUUUCUACGAGGACCUUGGUGCAGAAGAAGCCAGACCCAGGAGCAUUCACUAUUCCCUGUACGAUUGGGACUAUGGAAUUCGCUAAGGUAUUAUAUGAUCUGGAAGCGAGCAUUAAUUUAAUGCCGCUGGCUGUAUAUAGAAAGCUGGGUUUAGGAAAUCCCACACCCACCAAUAUGCGACCCGUGAUGGCAGAUAGGUUAGUAAAAUGACCUAUUUAUAUUUUGUAUGAUGUGUUGGUAAAGGUAUCUAGCUUUAUAUUCCCAACAGAUUUUGUUAUUCUGGAUUGUGAGGUAGACUUCGAGGUGCCCAUAAUCUUGGGUCGACCUUUCCUCGUAACUGAAAGUGUGUUAAUUAAUUUGAGAGCGAAUGGGCUCUUAUUCAGGAUGAAUGAUGAAGUGGUAUGAUUUGAUGUGUGCUAAUCAAUGAAACAACAUGAAGAAAUGAGUGUGUUCUCAGUAGUUGAUGUGUAUUAUGAGGAUGAACAGGAGGUAUCAAUAGAGGAACAACUUGUUAUCGAGCCUUUAGCCGUAGUUUUGAUGAAUUUUAAUUGUGAAGGCAUUGAGGAGUACGAAGAGACUGUUUGUGCUUUAUCAGGAAUGGGUUCAUAUCCUUAUGCUCCUAAGAAGCUAGACCUUGAUCUUGCUAAUCGACUAACACCACCGGCUAAGCCAUGCAUUGAAGAGCCACCGGUGUUAGAAUUGAAAGAACUACCUGGGCACUUAAGGUACGUGUUUUUGGGCAACAGAAACACGCUACUCGUUAUUAUUUUGGCCGAUUUGGGCGAGCAAUAGGUAGAGGCACUUAUUUCAGUACUUUAGAGGUAUAAGAGAGCAAUAGGAUGGACCAUCACAAAUAUUAUUGGCAUUCUCCCUGGCAUCUACACGCAUAAAAUAUAACUUGAGAAAGAUUGUAUUCCAACCAUCAAGUUCCAGUGCCGUCUUAACCCACUAAUGCAAGAGGUGGUUAAUAAGGAAAUUAUUAAGUGGUUGGAUGCAGAAGUGGUUUACCCUAUUUCUGGCAGCAAAUGGGUGAGCCAGUUCAAUGCGUGCUAAAAAAGGGGGCAUGACUGUGGUUGCAAAUGAAAGAAAUGAGUUGAUUCCACUUCAGGCUUGUGACUGGGUGGAGAGUUUGCAUAGACUACCACAAACUAAAUUCAUGGACUUUGAAAGACCACUUUUUGAUGCCCUUUAUGGACCAAAUACUUGAUUGAUUGGCCGGAAGGGGAUGGUAUUUCUUCUUGGAUGGUUAUUCCGGAUAUAACCAGAUCUUUAUUUCUCCUAAAGAUCAGGAAAAGACGAUAUUCAUAUGUCCAUAUGACACCUUUGCAUUUAAGAGGAUGCCAUUUGGGCUAUGCAAUGCACCCACAACUUUUCAAUGGUGCAUGAUGUCUAUGUUCUCAGAUAUGGUGGAAGACACCAUAGAUAGAUGAUUUCUCUAUGGUGGGAGAUUCAUUUGAGAUAUGUUUGGAAAACCUGAGUAUAGCCUUGCAACGAUGUGUUGAAUUCAAUUUGGUGCUUAAUUGGGAGAGAUGCCACUUUAUAGUAAAGGAGGGCAUCGUUCUCGGGCUUAAAAUUUUAGCAAAAGGGAUAGAAAUUGAUCGAGCCAAGGUUGAAGUUAUUGAGAAACUACCACCUCCCAUUUCAGUGAAGGGAGUGUAUAGUUUUCUUGGACAUGCUGGCUUUUACUGGAGGUUUAUAAGAGACUUCUCAAAGGUUGCAAAUCUACUUUGCAAACUUUUGGAGAAAGAAGUAAAGUUUUCCUUCGAUGAUGAUUGCUUGAAGGCAUUCGAAUGUCUUAAAAAGAAGCUAGUUGAAGCCCCUAUCAUUGUUGCACCAGAUUGGUCAAAACCCUUUGAGAUCAUAUGUGAUGCAAGCGGUGUUGCCCUUAGAGCUGUAUUAGGACAAAACAAGGACAAACUAUUUUAUCCAUUAUACUAUGCCAGCAAAGCACUGAAUGAAGCACAAAAUAACUACACUAUCACUGAGCAGGAACUCUUGGUUGUAGUGUAUGCUUUUGAGAAAUUCAGGACUUACCUGCUUAGGACCAAGGUGGUGGUCCACACUGACCAUGUAGCCUUGAGGUAUUUUAUGGAUAAGAAGUAUGCAAAACUAAGGCUGAUUCGAUGGGUGUUUCUGCUAUAAGAAUUAGAAUUUGAAGUCAAAGAUAGAAAAGGUUGUGUAAACUAGGUUGUAGAUCAUCUGUCUAGAAUGGAAGGUGAACAGACAAUUAGUGAUGAAAUGGAGAUAAAUGAUGCACUUCCUGAUGAGGAGAUCUUAGCUGCUGUUGUAGAGAAAUUGCCUUGAUACGCUGAUUUUACAAAUGAUGUUGUGAGUGAGGUCAUUCCAGAAAAUCUUUCUUUCCAUCAAAUAAAGAAAUUACUGCAUGAUGUGACACAUCACUUCUGGGAUGAGGCAUAUUUUUUUUGGUGAUGUGCUGACAAUAUUAUAUGGAGAUGUAUUCCAGAAGUGGAUGUAUUAUGCAUAUUGAAAACAUGUCAUGCUUCCCCAGUUGGAGGUCACCAUGCAGGUGACCGAACGGCUAGGAAGGUGUUGUAGAGCAGCUACUAUUGGCCAACAUUAUUCAAGGAUGCUCACAAGUUUAUGCUGAAAUGUGACCAAUGUCAGAGGUAGGGGUCAAUAUCCAAAAGACAUGAGAUGCCUUUGACUAAGAUGCUUGAAGUAGAAUUGUUUGACGUCUGGGGCAUCGAUUUCAUGGGUUCUUUUGUAAGCUCGUAUGGGAUGAAGUAUAUUUUAGUUGCUGUUGACUAUGUAUUGAAAUGGGUCAAAGUUAUUUCCUUGUCAGAUAAUGAAGGAAAAAAGGGUUGUUGAUUUUCUCAAGAAGAAGAUCUUCUCUCACUUUGGAGUACCGCGUACUAUUAUAAGUGAUGGAGGAUCUUAUUUUUUCAACAAAGUAUUUCAGGCAGCUUUAGCAAAAUAUGGGGUGAAACAACAUAGAGUAGCCACUCCAUAUCACCCACAAACUAGUGGGAAAGUGGAGGUGUCGAAUUGAGAAAUUAAAGCCAUUCUAGCUAAAACAGUGAAUGCUAGUAGGAAAGAUUGGUCUCGAAAGCUCGAUGAUGCUUAGUAGGCAUACCGGACUACUUUCAAGACACCCAUUGGCAUGUCACCAUUUCAGUUGGUCUAUGGAAAGGCAUGCCACUUACCAAUAAAGCUGAAGCACAAGGCCUUAUGGGUACUCAAAAGGUUGAAUUUGAGUUGGAAGGAGGCAGCAGAGCUGAGGCUAGGACAACUGAAUGAGAAGGAUAAAUUCCAUCUCAGGGCAUAUGAACGAGCAGACCUAUAUAAUUUAAAGAUGAAAAAGUAUCAUGAUUGGAGGAUAGAGAAACGAGACUUCCAAAAAGGUGACUUGGUGCUUUUAUUCAAUUCCAGACUCAAACUGUUCCCAGGUAAGCUUUAAUCCAAGUGGUUAGGCCCGUUUAGAGUUAGUCAAGUCUACUCAUCUGGAGUAGUAGAACUUGAAAAUAAAGACGGCAGUACCUUCAAGGUAAAUGGGCAACGAGUCAAACUUUAUAUUGGUCUAAAAGACUUGAUGAAAAGUAUUGCUACUAUCUGUCUUGAUGAAGUAUGAAGUAAUCGAGAUACCUGAGUCAUGCCGCGAUGUUAAAUUAGGCGCUACAUGGGAGGCAACCGAUGAUCCCCGUGCUUGAUCUACUCCAGGUAUACCCUAACCCUUAGUUCAGAUUUUCUUUGAUUUUAAGUUGAGGGUGUAGGGUGAGUUGUUAUUGUAACACUUUGUAGUUGACUGGGAGAUAUACAAGUACUUGAGGUAGUGAGCAUGGUUUUGUUAUUUUGUGAACACCUCUCAAGUGGUCUAAUUCUUUAAAUGUGUGAUUUGCAUCUAAGUGUGACAACUGUGUAUAGUUAUAUGGCAUUAGUUCUAGUGACACGACAAUAUUUGCUAAACAGCUGCAUAAACUAAAUGAGUAGUAACUUAUGAUAUACUUGUGUACCAUGUGUGUGUGAGAUCUUACUUAGUCCCCUCUAUAUGUUGAAUCCAGAACUUGCCCGGUUAGUCUUACCCAAGUUGAAGGAUAGGGGUCUACAUGGGAGGCAACCGAUGAUCCCCGUGCUUGAUCUACUCCAGGUAUACCCUAACCCUUAGUUCAGAUUUUCUUUGAUUUUAAGUUGAGGGUGUAGGGUGAGUUGUUAUUGUAACACUUUGUAGUUGACUGGGAGAUAUACAAGUACUUGAGGUAGUGAGCAUGGUUUUGUUAUUUUGUGAACACCUCUCAAGUGGUCUAAUUCUUUAAAUGUGUGAUUUGCAUCUAAGUGUGACAACUGUGUAUAGUUAUAUGGCAUUAGUUCUAGUGACACGACAAUAUUUGCUAAACAGCUGCAUAAACUAAAUGAGUAGUAACUUAUGAUAUACUUGUGUACCAUGUGUGUGUGAGAUCUUACUUAGUCCCCUCUAUAUGUUGAAUCCAGAACUUGCCCGGUUAGUCUUACCCAAGUUGAAGGAUAGGGGUUAGGAAAGGAUCAUAGACCAUUUUAAUAUUAGCCCACUUUUAGCCUAAAUGACCUUCCCUAUAUAUAGAAUAUCCCUUGAUCCCUACUUUGAGCCUGAUUAGCCUAUUUCUUUUUAUGACACCUGUCACCUUCCCGUUUAUAUCACAAUGAACUUGUUUUGGGCCUGGUCCUCCUUGGAUACUGUGCACCUUGACGUAGGCAAAUGGCCUAAGUUGAGGGUGGAUAUCUUAGGGGUACGUGAUGUCAAAUGAGUAUGAAGAUAGGUAGAAUAAAAGAAAAGAAUAAAAAACUGGGUGCAAUGGAAAAGAACAAGAAAAGAAAAGUUGUGAAAAAGAAAAAGUGAUUGUAGGAAAGUUAGUACCCAUACUGAAUAAGUGUGAUCAAGAAAAAAGUAGAAUAGAAAAAUGUUAAUAAGUGAAUCCCAGGAGCUAGUGUAGUGUCAAGGAGGAUUAGUCACUUUAAACAUCAUCAAGUAUCAUAGCAGCCCCUAGCCUGCCUUACAAGCCAAAAAGAAGACCUAUAGUGAUCUUAGCUGACCUGUCUGAAAACCUUGGUAAUGAAAAUAAGGGCAAGCCUAUGGUACUUGGCAUAUAUUGAUUGGAACUUCAUUCUGAGAGUGAGUGUCUUUUGAUUGUCCCCAUGGUUACAUAUAUGAUUGCUGAUAUGAGAAAAUGGGGAUUUCUUUGUUGUGAGGGCACAUCAGAUAUGUUGCUAGUUGCUAACUUGUUCGGAUAGUGUAAUACUGGUCUAUGCAUGGUUGUUAUAGCUGAAUUAAAGCCGUAUCUUGAUUCCUGUGUGUUGCAUUAUUGUUCUUCAAUAAUAUACAUAAUUGUUCUUGAAUUGACUGACCUUGGAGAUGGUGAAGAUGUUUGGAGAUAAUAUGGAUGAUUGACUACCGAAUGUACUUUGUAUCCUCUUGGCUGUGUUUGAGUUUCUUGAGGACAAACAAUUAUUUUAAGUUGUGGGUGUUGAUGUGUUAGCAGAUGCUAAAACAUUUGAGGCUUUUAACUGAGGAUAAUUGCAAGGUCUUAAGCAUCUUUUGUCAUUUUUAAUUGUUUUAUCUUUGAUUUUAUAGUAGAAGCCAAGAUGCAAGAGAACCAACAAGGAUGGAAACAAAAGAGUUAAAAUCUGAAGCAAAUAGAAGAGAAAUGUGUCUGACGAUAUUCUUGGUAAGUCGUCAGCCAUGUGAUAAGUUAUCAGAGAUACCGUCAGCCUUAGAUAGAGAAUGGACCUCAACUGAAAGUUAUGACGAUACUUCCUGAUAAGUCAUCAAAGAGUUGAUAAGUCGCCAAGUUUCAUCGCCAACCUUAAGCAGAAAGUGCUAAAAUUGAAGAAGGAUC